GCCCUAGUGGUCUAGUGGUUAAGAUUCAGCACUUUCACUGCCGCAGCCAGGGUUCAUUUCCCAGUCAGGGAA
rnacentral:tRNA from 1 species